UUAAUACACAAUGUGCCUUUCCUUUCUUACUUUUUUUUAGAUCAUGGUGGUGUGCAGUCUGAGUCGGCGUGUUGGAAAAGUGUUUUACAGUGCUGUCGGGUGACUUCAGCAGCAGAACACUGGGAGAAGCACGGGGGGAGGGCAGGGGGCAGAGCAGAGGGGGGCGGAGGAGGGAGGGGACAGCCUGGAAAGCGGUAAGGAGCUCUGGGAGGACGCGGAGUGCCGCGCUGUGUAACUGGUGCGUCUGCGCGUGCGCUGCCGUGACUUGUUUGGGUCGGGCCGGCGGUCACUUCUGAGCUCCCGCGGUGGGAAGGGCUCGAGCAGGUGGUGCAGUCCGUGCAGACCUGUAGGAUCCUUGGUAAGGACGGCCUGCAGCCCCCAGCUGGACAGGCUUCCUCCGUGUGCCCGGGCUGUGAGCUGUGCCGUGCCUGGCCGCGCUGCUCCGGCCCACAGCCCCCGCCUGCAGCUGCAUCGUUGUUUCCUUCCGUCCCGCACGGAGCCCCGACGCUGCUCCCACCGUCCUCUGCCCACCCCCAAAUUGCUAAAGAAGACGUUUGGCAGCGGGUCAGAGGAGUCCCAGCGCCCUGCUUUCCCUCUGCUCGCAGUUCUCUCCUCCUCGGCCCCACGGGGCUCCAGCCUGAGCGGUGGGAAGGUGUGGGGGAAAGGGAGCUGGCAGGAGGCGCUGCUGCGGCUGGCCGGGGAGGGGCUGCAUGGCCCAGACCCCCGUGUGCUCUGUCCUGCUGCAGCAGGACCAGGGAAGGGCAGAUGAGAAGCUGCAGCCGAGCCCGAUGGACCUGCACAACUGCAAAAGGUAAUCGGUGAGUUGGAAUUGUAAUUGCUUCUCUUUGAUUUGAAAAGUAAAGUAAGGUUUUGUCUUCUGUUUUCAGUCCCAGUGGCGUGGCUAUAAGCAGAGGAAGGCAUAUCAAAUCCGCCCGUGUUUCCCAUGAGCACACAAGGGCCAUGGAGUGAAGGCAGUAAAGGCUCCUUGGGGAUUUUUUUUUUCUUUUUUGGUAAACAUUUUGGGUAGCAACAUCUAUGGAAAAGUUUUGUCUGACCUAUUUCUGGUUAAUUUCCUACAGAUUCAAUCAGUAACCAGGCUGCAUCAAACCAGAAGGUGUUACAGAGAUCACCUGCAGUGCUUCAGAGGCCACAUAAGAGGCUGUUCAAUGAAUUCAGUAUCUGACUUCUUACUCUUCCCUAAACCGAAGUGUCUGUUUUUGUUGCUGUUCUUCAGUCCUGGAGAAAUGACGCUGUAGACAUUCAAGCCUUUAUCUGAGCAAACGAAGCAUGAGAAGACAACAAAGCCCUCAGCGAGUAUUGCUGAAAGAAUAACACCAGUUAUUGAUGCGCUGAGUCUGUGUUUGCAGUAACACUUCCAGCGUGAUGGAUGACAUCAGGCAGUUCGAAGGAGUUGGUUUCUCACAGCGAAGAGCUUUCUAAGGAGAACAAGAAGCAGAAGGGAGGUUUGAAAGCUUUGAGCGAAUAGGGGGAGAAAAGCUGGCAGUCUGUUGGCAUCUGUUCUGCUUCCCUCAGGAGUGCCAACAGGCUGUGAGCUCGGGCCUUACGGGCAGCGCUGGAGCUGACACAGAGGGCUCUGCAUGCUCAGAAAGGAACGAGAAGGCUGAGAAUCAGGUGCUGUUUGACGUUUUUACCGGCUGUCCUCCUCAAGGAUCCUCCUCAGGCCUGUCCGUAGGCACGUUUGGUUGCUUUGGCUGGAGCUGAGCUUGGUGCUUAUGGCUUCGGCCUCUGUGAUACACAGCUGCACCAUUGCUGCCUACAGCAGACGUACGUGUUGCUGGAGAUGACUCCACGCCUUUUGUUUUUCUCAAAGUGUGAGGAUGGUGUGUGCCCUCAAACGGGUCACGUCUGCAAGAAAUUCCUUUUUUUCUUUUCUUCUUUUUUCCUCUUUUCCUUGGAGCAGUGGCUCAGGGAAAUGUGGAUGCUUUCUUCUCUGCUGCUGUGCUUCCCAUAGUGGCAUUCUAGGAAUGGCUUCUGUCAUGGUUGCUUUCUUGCUUAUUUUAAAUACUGAAGGGCGCAGGUUCUUCUACCUGCAUAAACUCCCUUUGUUUCCAUUGUAGUUUUGAGUUGUGCUCUCGAAUGGAAUGUAGAGCUGGAUCUGAACAGUUGCCAAAGAGGAGUCUGCAGGCAGACGGUGAUGGAUUUCCCAGAUGGAGGUCAUGAAGUUCCUUGCCUCCUGAUGAAGUGUUCUUGUAUUAUUCUUAUAUAGGGUUGUAUCUGAUUGCUGUACUGUGACUUUUAUGACAAAUCCAUUCUCUGUUUCCCAGAGGCGAUGCUGAGAAGCAUGCCUCCUGAUCACUUAUGCAUAACUCAUGCUUUAUAUUAAUUCUUCCCUUGGACCAAAAGUAGACCAGAUCCUUGAAGCCGUGCCUGGGAAUCCCACUGCUAUUGGAAUGGUGCAGCCGUGGUGCCCCUGGUCAGAACGCCCUGCAGCAGAUCCUGGCAUUGGCUGUGAAUGGAAGAACUCACGACAAAUCGCUCGAUAUCAAAACCAAUCCAGUGGAUAUUGACAAGCCUCGGGCGACCCGGAUGGGAUCUCAGCGUGGUGAUGCCAGGUAUGGAAGCUGUUCCUGCUAUGGUUCUUCUAAGAGUUGCUCGACUGUUUUGUGUCGCUCUGUUAAUUGUUCCAAGCCAUCCUUGGCUUUGCUGCACACAUCUGUCUGAUUGAAACCAGUUUUUUUCAUCACCUCAGACACUGGCUAAAAAAAAAGAAUAAUAAUAAUUAAAAAAAUGCAUGACAACAUCA